rnacentral:misc_RNA from 1 species
CAAUUGAUGUUUCUUCUUAUGAUAUAGGUCCACACACUACUUCCAGUGACUAUUGAUCUCCUCUCCCUGUUUAAAUAAAUCAAGUUUGGAUACACCAUGAUGAUAGCCAUUUUCACAAUUUAUCCUUUAAUAAACCCAUUUUCAUGAUUCAUCCUUUAAUAAACUAAUAGAACCAUGCUUCAACUCUGUUAAAAAAAAUAAAUGCUUCAAAUAUAUACAUUCAUCUAAACUCUAUUCUUCAAAAAAAUUGAAUAAUUAAAUGUACAUAUUAAGGUAAUAAAAGCACAAAUCAAAUAUGACGGCUAUGAAUUGAAAGUCAUAGGUCCAGCAUGAUGGUCUUGGAUCUUAAAAUGGUAGAUCACUAUACAGCAAGCUGCCCAAGGGAAUCAUAGGAGAAAUUUGAAUUUAUUAUAAGUUUUAUAUUUUUCCCUAUAAACUUAAUAAUUCAAACACUACAGAACAUUCUUAUUUAUGUGCUUAUGUAGCAGUUUCCAACUAAAAUCAGAACACCAAAGUACAACUAAUAGAGAAAGUGAGUAUAAAAUACCAUUGAUAAUAUUGGAAAAACAGAAUGUGCAACAAAAAGUUGACAAAGAGUGAUAAUAUCUACUAGCUUAC